GCCUGGCUGACUCAGUUGGUAGAGUGUGUGACUCUUAAUCCUCAGGUUGUGGGUUCGAGUCCCACAUUGGGCA